AACGCAUAUUGCGCCCUUUGGUAUUCUGAAGGGCAUGCCUGUUCGAGCGUCAUUAUCACUGUAUCAAGCUUGGCUUGUUGUUGGGCCCUGUGUCACCAGGUGACAGGUCCAAAAGAUAAUAACCGGUGUCAUACCGACUCUCUAUGCAACGAGCUGACCACAGCACGCAUUUAGUAGUUAUAUGACCCGGUUCUGGUGCCCUUAUUUUUCCAGGUUGACCUCGGAUCAGGUAGGAAUACCCGCUGAACUUAA
rnacentral:misc_RNA from 1 species